CGUAGGUAACCUGCCUGGUAGCGGGGGAUAACUAUUGGAAACGAUAGCUAAUACCGCAUAAUAGUAGAUGUUGCAUGACAUUUGCUUAAAAGGUGCAAUUGCAUCACUACCAGAUGGACCUGCGUUGUAUUAGCUAGUUGGUGAGGUAACGGCUCACCAAGGCGACGAUACAUAGCCGACCUGAGAGGGUGAUCGGCCACACUGGGACUGAGACCCGGCCCAG
rnacentral:rRNA from 1 species